GAUUGCUUAGUGAUUCUUGGCUUCUCUUUAAGUUUGAUCUUUUCCAUUCUGAUCUGAGCUUGAGAGAAGCCACUUUCUACUGAGGGUCUCCCUUGGGUUCCCCGGCCUUGUGCCGGCCCUCAAGUGUGAGGAACCCCUCAUUAUACGAACCAGAAGAGUUUAACAUCUGGCACUUCUGGUUCCAACAGCACCGUCUGGCUCACUUCUUUUAAGAGGUGGCUGUACUUAGCGACAGCAGAAUGCCAGAGGUUAAGGUGCUAUUCAGUGUCCUGGAGGAGUAUGUGAAGGAGAGGACAUUUGACGAGGCCAUCCUUGCC